AGACGUCAGCUGGUACCCUGGGGAGGGUUCUCUUCUCUUUUUGACUGGCUAUCACGCUGAAAUCAAUUUACUUGGAGAUAGGGUUCAAUGUCAGGCAAAGCAUCACAACUUUGUGAUGUCCGGUGCGUUCCAGACGGUCCGUGAAAAUCCGAGGGAGAGUUUCAUUUUCAUACCUAGUCGUACUCAUAACCGCAGCAGGUUUCCAGGGUGACCCUCUAGUUGAUAGAACAAUGUAGAUAAGGGAAGUCAGCAAAAUAAAUCCAUAACUUCGGCAAAAGGAUUGGCUAUAAGGGUUAUGUGCAUUGGGCCAUUGUUCAAAGCCUUGGAAUUUGCCUGGGACUACUCGAGUCGCAAGACAAGAGCGGAUUUGGGCUGGGUCUGGGUGUGGCGGACUUUGGCAUGGUUCACGGCGUCUGGUGCACAGUUAACAACCAACUUAGAACUGGCACGAACAAGGGGAAUCUCAAUGUGUAAUUAAAACAUAGCAUUGGGAUGGGUAGAAAAUAAUCUUGACGCAAUGUGAUUUCUGCCCAGUGCUCUGAAUGUCAAAGUGAAGAAAUUCAACCAAGUGCAGGUUAAUGUAGGGAGUAACUAUGACUCUCUAAAGGUAGCCAAAUGCCUUGUCAUCUAAUUAGUGACGCGCAUGGAUGGAUUAACAAGAUUCCCACUGUCCCGAUCUACCAUCUAGCAAGACCACAGCCAAGUGAACGGGCUUGGCAUAAUCAGCCGGGAACGAAGACCCUGUCGAGCUUGACUCUAGUUUUAUAUUGUGGAAAAACAUAGGGGGUGUAGAAUAAGUGGGAGCUUUGGGGCCGGUAAAAUACCACUACCCUUAUUGUUGUCUGACUUAUUUAAUGAAGCAGGAUUGGCCUUCACUGGUCCCCUUCUGGUAUUACGGCACUUCGCGUGGUAAUCUUGGUAGAAGAAAUCGUCAGGAGGGGAGUUUGACUGGGUUGGCACAUCCGUUCAAACAUAACACAGGUGUCCUAAGGGGAACUCAUCAAGAACAGAAAUCUUGAGUAGAACAAAAGGGUAGAAGUUCCCCUGAUUUUGAUCUUUAAUGUGAACACAAACCAUGAAAGUGUGGCCUAUCGAUCCUUUAGUCCCUGGGUAUUUCAGCCUAGAGGUGCUGGAAAAGUUACCACAGGGACAACAGGCUUGUGGCAGCCAAGUGUUCAUAGCAACGUUGCUUUUUGAUCCUUUAGUGUCAGCUCUUCCCACCAUUGAGAAGCAGAAUUCUCGAAGCGUCGGAUUCUUCACCCGCCAAUAGAGAACGUGAGCUGAGUUUAGAACGUCGUGAGACAGGUUAGUUUUACCCUACCGAUGAAGGGUCAUUGCAAUAGUAAUUCAACCUUGUAUGAGAGGAACCAUUGAUUUGUAUAAUUGGUUUUAGCGGUUAGCUGAAAAGCUAGUGUGGCAACGCUAUCAUGAUUCAGAUUACAGCUGAACGCCUCUCAGUUGGAAUGCAUGCUAGAAUGCAAUGAUCACUCCCUUUU
rnacentral:rRNA from 1 species